AGGAGGUUUCCACCUUGGCCGUAGAGGUUUCGCUGAUUGAACUCUCUUCUGGACAAACUGAUCAACUUGUGGUAUCCAAGCUGAUAAAAGAUAUUAUCUCCCUUGAGACUGCAGCAUGCAAAGGUGAAAUUAACACAUUGAAAUCAGAUAUGUUUGGAAGAGCAGCCGGCAGUCGACCUGAAACCUGUUAUCAGUGAGCUGGGACACUGCGAUAUCCUAUCUG